UACGGGGGGGGCAAGCGUUGUUCGGAAUUACUGGGCGUAAAGGGCUCGUAGGCGGCCAACUAAGUCAGACGUGAAAUCCCUCGGCUUAACCGGGGAACUGCGUCUGAUACUGGAUGGCUUGAGUUUGGGAGAGGGAUGCGGAAUUCCAGGUGUAGCGGUGAAAUGCGUAGAUAUCUGGAGGAACACCGGUGGCGAAGGCGGCAUCCUGGACCAACACUGACGCUGAGGAGCGAAAGCGUGGGGAGCGAACGAGG
rnacentral:rRNA from 1 species